rnacentral:rRNA from 1 species
UUGGCGGCCUUUUUUCUAUUCAGAGGAACUUGUAUCUUAAUCCGAUAAUCCUCGUUAUUUCUUUCUUUCUUUAAGUAUUUAUAUCGCCGUCUCUGAAAAUAAUUUAGAUUAUUCUCAUAAAAAUAUAAUUACAACGUCAGGUCGAGAUGAAGCUUAUAUCCAAGCGAGCCGAGUUACAUAUUCUUACUAUUAACCUUCAAUCUACUAAACCUUAUUGAAUAAAGGAUUUGAUAGUAAUCUUAAGGUAAUUUCUUAUUUUGAACAAGAUUCCAAAGGUGUACAUAUCGCCCGUCACCCUCAUCAAAAGAUGAGGUAAGUCGUAACACAGUUAAUAUACUGGAAAGUGUAUUAAGAG